AUGUUGAAUUCACAAUGCCGUGCUGCCAAAGUGUGUGGGGCAAGAUUCAGCCACCGCGGGACGUAUGAAGUUGAUCAUCUUUAAGGCGGUGAAGCACUUGAAUUGUGGUCAUCUUUGUCUCAGGACAAGUUCGGUGUUUGCAGCGCAGCGUCAGCCCUGGAGAUAUCCCGGGGGUGCUGAGUGUUCGGGAGGUCCUGCAGACCUGCUGCGGAGACUGGGCUGAUAAAGUCUCCAGGCCUCCUCCUUGUGGAGGUGAAUUGCGGUGGGACAGCGCCUUUUCCAAAAGUGGGGUCAGACUGAGAGAGCAGGAGGCUUUUGUCACGGCUGUGUGUGACAUAGUACCCCAGCUGGUGGUUGCACCGAUACCAAAAAAGUGGGCUUGGACCCCCUGGAAUCCGGUAUGAGGGACUUUAUCAGCAGAUAACAGGUGGUAGAAGCUGGUGCUGGAAUCGAAAAUAAGGUGACAAGGAGCUGCUCCCCACGGGCAGGAAAAAAGGAAAGAAAAAGGACUUGGCUUGUGGGAGCACCAGGAGAGUGAACCCACAGAGCUGGACUGUGCAAACACAGCCGGAGGCGGUGCCUGGCCCACGGAGCUCACGUCCCAACGCUGCUGAAGGACUGGUAAAAUGUCUGAGACCACACCACCUGAACACAGGACAUGACUCCACGAAGCAGCCCGUGGGCCCUCUGCAGAGUGGCCACGCACCCUCCUGGCUCUCUUUCUCCACAUGGCCUCACACUAAAACCAAUGCGGGGUGAAAGGUACGGGAAUCCUGUGCUCUGCGGAGGAUGCUGAGCCCUCGGAGACGUCAUCCAGAGCUCUUGUCUCUAACCCAGCCAACUUGUUCCAAUGGCUGGCUUGAAUUUCAAGGGUUGCCCUGUUGCUUUGGUGGGCGGCGGGGGUGGCAGCUUUAUAAAGAAGAGUGGUGAGGGAGAGAAAGUUUUUCUUCUCAUUUCCCAUCCCAUCUGGCUGGGUGAAUGCGGUGUUUUUGGUUGACGGGUUCGAAGGAGCGAGGGAGGCGGUCAGUUGGAAACACCAAUUCUGCAAGCUCCCGAGAGCCACCGGCCGCUGCUUCCUCUUGGUUCAGCUCGACCGGUUCAUCAUGGGCUCGAGGUGGCUGCUUUAAUGGGAAGUUGGCGGGCGGAGGAGAAUCUAUACCUUCCCUUUUGCAGUGAAUCAAUAAAAAGCUGGAGUGUUUUGGAUUCCUCUUUCCAGGAGAGAAUAGACCUCAUUGUAAGUCUGGAGAAUAAAAUAGCAGAGAGAGAGGGAGGGAGGCUCUUCCCUCUGCGCGCUCCAGCUCUCUUGGCUAAGAGGCAGCUUUGCUCUCAAUGUCUCGGCCGCGUUUGAUUUUGGCAUCGCUUGAGGCAUUCUAAACCUUGCCUGAGAGUCGUGUCAGUGGAGGCCGACAGCAGGCAUUGUUUGUUCAAUCUAGUUACGGGAUGAGGGUGAUGGAGCCUAGGAGAGCCCUGGGAAAGGAGGAAAAGUGGGUGUGUAGCGCGAAAAGGAUCAGUGGCCCCGACGGCUUGCUGUCACGAGCUGUUCUCUGGGCACCAUCUCGGCUCUACCUGUCAGCCCCAUCGCUCCUUUGCACCCUGUCACCUCUUGGUCCUGCUUCUGCAAAAGAUGCUUCAGGAUGAAAGCCUGUAUUUCAGGUUGGAAACUCUCCGACAGGUGAACAUCCUGAGCAUCGGAGAGGGAUGACUGCUUGGCUCAGCCCCUGAAAGUCUGGAUGCAAAUCUGAAGUGCAUUAAACGUUCUCCAGGGGGUGGGGGGGGUUUCACACUUGGAAAGCUUUGCGAGGUUUCCAGUGUUUGCUGCUUCCAGUCAGGCUGGAAUCCAAAAGUGCAAAGGCCCGUGAAAAUGAUUAAUAAAGAACAAAAACCAGACCCUGAGACAGGUUCAGCUCCGCGACUCCUCUGAUAUCCUAGGCUUGCAGAAGUCUCUCGCUUUACUUGGGUAGAUUUGCUCUUUUAAAGCUGAAACCCCAUUCUUCAAACUGGAUUCAGCCGCAGGUGCUGUUUGUGUAAGGGUUAAGAGCAUCUUCAGGUAUAAAUUGCCAUUGUCUGUCAGCAUUGGUGGGUUAUACUCCUUUAUGUGGCUGGAAAGUCUGGUCCAGGUCGUUUGGUGGAAGUAAAUGGGAUUUACCUGUGUGGGUGGGUAAGCGCUUCUGUACAUAUAACCUUCUCCCUGCAAUUUGCCGUUGUUCUUGAUGGCACCUCUUUUAUCUUAUGUCAGUGAGAAAGUCCCAGAUGCCUCUUGGCCUUGUACGAGGCUUCUUGAUUCCCUCCUGCUCUAUGAGACCAGCAGUUUGUUGCUUGAGGUGGGUGUUGGACCUGGGAGAGGUGUUUGGGGGAAAGGGAGGUUUUUUUCCCAUUUGAGCUGUCUGUGUGGCAUGUAAGGAAAGUCUACGCAGGCAAAGAUGCCUUUGGAGAUGGUAUAGACCCAAAGAUGAGUUGCUGUUACGCAAAAUAUGAAAGGAAGCUUGGGAUUAUGAGUCAAGUUUUGGUGAUUUAGCAUUGGCAGGAAAGCAGCACUGCCUUGAAGGGUCCUUCUCUU